CAGAUGAACGCUGGCGGCAUGCCUUACACAUGCAAGUCGACGGCAGCAUGAUCUAGCUUGCUAGAUUGAUGGCGAGUGGCGAACGGGUGAGUAAUACAUCGGAACGUGCCCUGUAGUGGGGGAUAACUAGUCGAAAGAUUAGCUAAUACCGCAUACGACCUGAGGGUGAAAGUGGGGGACCGCAAGGCCUCAUGCUAUAGGAGCGGCCGAUGUCUGAUUAGCUAGUUGGUGGGGUAAAGGCCCACCAAGGCGACGAUCAGUAGCUGGUCUGAGAGGACGAUCAGCCACACUGGGACUGAGACACGGCCCAGACUCCUACGGGAGGCAGCAGUGGGGAAUUUUGGACAAUGGGGGCAACCCUGAUCCAGCAAUGCCGCGUGUGUGAAGAAGGCCUUCGGGUUGUAAAGCACUUUUGUCCGGAAAGAAAUCGCACCUGAUAAUACCGGGUGUGGAUGACGGUACCGGAAGAAUAAGGACCGGCUAACUACGUGCCAGCAGCCGCGGUAAUACGUAGGGUCCAAGCGUUAAUCGGAAUUACUGGGCGUAAAGCGUGCGCAGGCGGUUGUGCAAGACCGAUGUGAAAUCCCCGGGCUUAACCUGGGAAUUGCAUUGGUGACUGCACGGCUAGAGUGUGUCAGAGGGGGGUAGAAUUCCACGUGUAGCAGUGAAAUGCGUAGAGAUGUGGAGGAAUACCGAUGGCGAAGGCAGCCCCCUGGGAUAACACUGACGCUCAUGCACGAAAGCGUGGGGAGCAAACAGGAUUAGAUACCCUGGUAGUCCACGCCCUAAACGAUGUCAACUAGUUGUUGGGGAUUCAUUUCCUUAGUAACGUAGCUAACGCGUGAAGUGACCGCCCUGAGACUACCUGU
rnacentral:rRNA from 2 species